GCGAAAGAGGCCAUUUAAUUAAUAAAAUAAAAUAAAUAUUUAUGGCAGGGGCGUCCAGCUCUCUCUUCUGCGAGACUGGAAAGUCCGCCGUCUCCUCGCUCUCUCUCUCACACGCACAAAUCGAUCAUGUAAGUCACAAUGGUUCGUCUUCUCAUCGAGCUCUGGUUUUAAUUUCUUCAACCAAUAUCUGAUCUUUGUAUUUAUUGCGAUUUCAAACCCCAGAAACCCUAGAAUUUAUCGAUCCAAGAAUCGAUAUUUAGUCCCCAAUCCAUUGGACCACAUCGACACCCCAUUUCGUCAAUUAUUGUCAGUUGAUUUCCCAAGAUCACCUUCAAAAGCCCAAGCUUUUAGGCUUUCCUCUGUGUUUGGGCUCAAAUGGAAGUUGGGCUCGUCACGAAAGGCUUGAAUUUCUCUCGGCGGAGAAAGAGAUGGCUUUUCGCACUUGCAGCUCUUGGCGUGUCCGGUUAUGGUGCUUAUAGGGUUUAUAACUUGCCCUCUGUGGUCAGGAAGAGGAAGAGGUUCGUGAAGCUCUUAGGAGCCCUAAUUUCUGUGGCCGAGAUGGUCUCUGAUUCGGCUGAGACCAUCGGCAUUGUCUCCAAGGACUUGAAGGAGUUUCUACGUUCUGAUUCAGACGAAAUGCCCGAGAGUUUAGUGCAAAUUUCCAAAAUUGCGAGGUCGGAGGAGUUCUCUGGGUCGCUGAGUAAGCUUACAGAGGCUAUGACGGUUGGGAUUGUUCGAGGGUGUAAAUUGGGGAUGGAAAAUCAGAGUGAAUCAGAAACGGGUUUGGGGAAUUCGAGCUUUUCCGAUAGGGUUUUGGAGAAGGUUUUCUCUACAGCCGGGACAGGGUUCGUUUCUGUUGUGGUUGGGAGCUUUGCGAGGAACUUGAUUCGGGGUUUUUACUCCAAUGAUCAAUCAGUCGAUAAUUCCAGUUCGUCCAGGUCAAGUUUAUCGGAUGUGCCUAGAUGGGUUAAUGUGGUUUGCAGUGAUAGAAGUAAGGAGCUCAUGGCAAAUUGCAUACAGGUUUUCGUAAGCACUGCAGUUGCAGUGUACCUUGACAAAACGAAGGAUAUCAAUUUCAUUGAUGAAAUGUUUGAUGGAUUGACCAAUUCCAAGCAUCAAAACAAAGUAAGGGACGUUCUGGUUUCUCUUUGUAAUGGUGCUGUGGAAACGGUCGUCAGAACUUCUCACCAAGUUUUGACGAGUUCAAGCUCGAAUUCGUGUUCUUUCUCCAUUGUUGAUCAGAAUGAAGGUCUAAGUGGAACUACAGACCAGUGCUUGGAGCAAGAAGUAUCUGCAGGGCAGCCAAAGGAGGGAACUUCAUUGGAUGUUAUUCAGAGUAGUGGGUGGGUCGGCAAGGUUUCAUCUACAUUGGCAGUGCCAAGCAAUAGGAAGUUUGUUCUUGAUGUGACAGGGAGGGUGACAUUUGAGACAGUACGUUCUCUUGUUGAAUUUAUGUUGUGGACGGUGUUAGAUGGCUUGAAAAGAAGUGUUAAUGUACUUCAUGGGGAGGUUGAAGACAGGGGAUUGCAAGUCAUCAGAUACUUCAGUGGAAAGUCGUCCGUUAUAGUUACCAUAUGUCUUGUUUUGCAUUUAUAUAUCCUGAGUGGUACUAGAGUUCUCUUCACUGCUUAAUUUGGUGGCUUUAUCUCUCCCUUGUAAGAAGCUCCUAUCAGGGAGCUGUUCAUAUGUUUAAAUCUGGAAAUGGAGAGAGUUGGUGGUCCAAGACUCCAAGGUGUCACCAUAUAUAUCCAUGCCAUUCCCCCUUCACAUGGAUAAAAAUAAGAUUUGUGUAGGAAAUGGAUGAUUGAAGCAGUGAUCAAUGCUGUUGCAGGGAAGAAUGUAGUUUUUUGAAACAAGACAUCCUGCCAUUACAAAAGCUUGGUGCUAGUGGUGGCCUCUGUUCCCUUUAUUUGAGGUGACAGACGUUUGAGUUCCUUUGACCCCUUUUAUCAAACCAUUAUAUUUUGUAUAUGUUAGAGUUUCUGCUUCAAGCAGGUCUGGACAACUCGUACUCUGUUUCAAACAUCCAGAGAGAAGUAGAAAUAGUUCAAAAGAAAUUCCCUUUUGAGUAAAUGGCCGUUCAGAAAUGGUUGUAAAGCCAACAUAUUUGUAAAACUCCAUCAAAUUCUCCUUGUGCUUAAUUAGGUCAUUUUCCAAUCAUCUUUACGGCUUUUGGGA